GAAAUGCGAUAAGUAAUGUGAAUUGCAGAAUUCCGUGAAUCAUCGAAUCUUUGAACGCACAUUGCGCCCUCUGGUAUUCCGGAGGGCAUGCCUGUUCGAGCGUCAUUUCAACCCUCAAGCUCUGCUUGGUAUUGGGUCCGCGCCGGUGCCAGCUCUGGCCCGGCGGGUCCUAAAGUCAGUGGCGGCGCCGUCCCGGCUCCACGCGCAGUAGUCUUCUCUCGCGUCCGGAGGCCCGAGGCGGUUGCCGGCCAGGCGAACCCCCACAUCUUUCUCAGGUUGACCUCGGAUCAGGUAGGGAUACCCGCUGAACUUAA
rnacentral:misc_RNA from 1 species